UCCAGCUUGCCGUGUGCAGUCUCCUUAGAGUUCCCAACUUAAUGAUGGCAACUAAGGACAAGGGCCAGCGUCGCUCGGGGACAUUAACCCAACAUCUCACGACACGAGCUGACGACAGCCAUGCAGCACCUGGACUUUGAUUCUCUUGCGAGCACCCCGGGGAGUUUUAGUCUUGCGACCGUCCUGCGCAGGCGGAGUGCUUAAUGCGUUAGCUUCGACACCGCAGGGGUCAAUACCCGCGACAUCUAGCACUCAUCGUUUACAGCGUGGACUAC
rnacentral:misc_RNA from 1 species